CCCGUUUCUGAUUCAGUAGGUGUGGGGUUUUCCUUUUUCUAGAUUCUCUGAUGCUGCCGACCCUGAGGCACUUCUUGAGAACCUCUGGGCUGGAGGAAAUUAAGCCCUGGGGCUAGGGAAAACGAGGCCAAGAUAACUAUAAGAGGAAUUCAGUUUACAGUUAAACUUUGAGGCAAGGAAAAUUGACCUCACCUUCUUUCGGGGAGAUUGAAGCUGCAGUCACAAGAACAGUGACUCAGCCCGAGACCUUUGUCUCAGCUCGACAGCCCUCGAGAGGCGGGAGUGCAGAUAGGUCCAGCAGCCAAGAUGGGGCGAGUUACGCUAACUGUCUCAAGCCAUUGGCGCGAACACUGCACAAAGGAUGAAAUUUGCAAGGGUAAGCAUAUACUUGACCCAGAUAUAGUACCUUGAUGUAAGUGGGAUGGACUCUGACUGAUAAUGUGAGUGCCAAGAGUGGAGAAUGUGGGAUUUAGUGGGGAAAUCACAUACUAUUUACACCAAAGCAGGAUUCUGGACUAUUAAGAGAGUUACCUAUGAUUUUAAAAAAGAGUGAGAGGACAGGGAAAAGAACCUAUAUACUGAUCUACAGUCUAGGGGGAUGUAGUUUUGUUUGUUUUCAUGGAUGACAGAUAAAACUUAGAUCACUCUGUAUCGGGAAAGAUGCAUUGAAUAGUUCAAUUGUAAUUGUUGGGAUUGUGCAACCUGAAGCAGAGUAACAUGUAGAAGUCACCUUUAAAAAUAACCUUGGGCAAUUGACCAGGUUGAUCUUCAACUCCUGACCUCAAGGGAUCCUCCUGCCUUGGCCUCCCAAAGUGCAGGGAGUGCCUGGUUUACUGUCUAUAUUAACAUGAGUUUACUAUUCCACUAUU